rnacentral:rRNA from 1 species
UACGUAGGGUGCAAGCGUUGUCCGGAAUUAUUGGGCGUAAAGAGCUCGUAGGCGGUCUGUCACGUCGGCUGUGAAACCCGAGGCUCAACCUCGGGCCUGCAGUCGAUACGGGCAGACUAGAGUUCGGUAGGGGAGACUGGAAUUCCUGGUGUAGCGGUGAAAUGCGCAGAUAUCAGGAGGAACACCGGUGGCGAAGGCGGGUCUCUGGGCCGAAACUGACGCUGAGGAGCGAAAGCGUGGGGAGCGAACAGG